AAUGUGGUCUAUCACUUAAACAAUGUAUUUCUGAGCAGAAGUUUGCUGGUGUUUGAAUGAUGUUUCUAUUGCUAUUUAAGCUUUCAGGAAGAUGAAAUAUUUUACCCUGAGUGAUGGAAACUGAGAAGCUGUUAGAGUGAAAAGAUGAGAGUAUGGAAAACAUACACUGUGAAAUUCCAUGUUUGACCUGACUGUUGAAAUAGAGCUUGAGUUUUGAAAACAAACACACAUAAAAACAACAGAAACUCCUACAAAGGAGUUUUGAUGUGUUAUAAAUGCCUAUAUCACUAAUGCAAAGGUAUUUUCUCAUUUUUUAAAUGUUUGCAGCAAGUUUUUGUAGUUCCUCUCUGAGCUGGCCAUCGUGCAAAGUAUGACACUAAAGGAAAGCUUGUAGAGAACAGUGUGAUGGAGGAAAUAAUGACUUGUGAGUCUAGAAACCUACCACAGGAGCUAGAGCUUCAUGAUUUCUAUCAAAAGGUUCUGGCUUUGGUACUAAAGCAAGCAGGCAGCAUUCUUUCACUCAGGCCUUUGGGAUAUGUACUGUGGAAAACAGUUCUUCUGAUACAGAAGUGAUCACUAGCAGAUGAGCUCCUACCCUACCAAGUGCUGGGAUUUACCUGCC
ensembl:lncRNA